rnacentral:rRNA from 1 species
UACAGAGGUCUCAAGCGUUGUUCGGAUUCAUUGGGCAUAAAGGGUGCGUAGGUGGCGCCGUAAGUCGGAUGUGAAAUUUCGGAGCUUAACUCCGAAACUGCAUUCGAUACUGCCGUGCUUGAGGACUGGAGAGGAGACUGGAAUUUACGGUGUAGCGGUGAAAUGCGUAGAUAUCGUAAGGAAGACCAGUGGCGAAGGCGGGUCUCUGGACAGUUCCUGACGCUGAGGCACGAAGGCCAGGGGAGCAAACGGG